AACGGGUGAGUAAUGCAUCGGAACGUGCCCAACUGUGGGGGAUAGCUCGGCGAAAGCCGGAUUAAUACCGCAUACGAUCCACGGAUGAAAGCGGGGGACCUUCGGGCCUCGCGCAGUUGGAGCGGCCGAUGUUAGAUUAGGUAGUUGGUGGGGUAAAGGCUCACCAAGCCGACGAUCUAUAGCUGGUCUGAGAGGACGACCAGCCACACUGGGACUGAGACACGGUCCAGACUCCUACGGGAGGCAGCAGUGGGGAAUUUUGGACAAUGGGCGCAAGCCUGAUCCAGCAAUACCGCGUGCAGGAAGAAGGCCUUCGGGUUGUAAACUGCUUUUGUACGGAACGAAAAGGUCUGGGUUAAUACCCUGGGCUCAUGACGGUACCGUAAGAAUAAGCACCGGCUAACUACGUGCCAGCAGCCGCGGUAAUACGUAGGGUGCAAGCGUUAAUCGGAAUUACUGGGCGUAAAGCGUGCGCAGGCGGUUAUGUAAGACAGGCGUGAAAUCCCCGGGCUCAACCUGGGAAUUGCGCUUGUGACUGCAUAACUAGAGUACGGUAGAGGGGGAUGGAAUUCCGCGUGUAGCAGUGAAAUGCGUAGAUAUGCGGAGGAACACCAAUGGCGAAGGCAGUCCCCUGGACCUGUACUGACGCUCAUGCACGAAAGCGUGGGGAGCAAACAGGAUUAGAUACCCUGGUAGUCCACGCCCUAAACGAUGUCAACUGGUUGUUGGGUAUUUACUUACUCAGCAACGAAGC
rnacentral:rRNA from 1 species